rnacentral:tRNA from 1 species
UAGAUUGAAGCCCUCUGGUUUGGGUUUUUAGUUGUUAACUAAAGGUUUACGGGAUCGAGGCCCGUCGAUCUA